GGGCAUUUAGGCAGAGAGCUCUACAAGGCCCUUGCAAGGGCCCUGAAAUAGAAGCAUGUCUGGGAUAUUUCUACAAUAGCAAAGAGGCGUGUGAUGCCAAGUGGUAUGAAUCAAGGAAGAGUAGCAGGCAAUGAAACUGAAUCCGAGAGAGCUUGAUUCACAUACCCCAUCUCAGCAAGCCACUUCACACCAAAAUCCAAACUAGAAGCAUAAAUCGAGGCAUCUAUAGGACAUGCCACUGUGGGCUUAUGCAAGAAGUUAGCACUGUUGCAAAUUUCAAAAAAGGUCUAAGGCAAAAUUUUAAACAAGGUCUAUGAGCUAUCUUUGCUGUAUCGCUUGGCAGCAGACAUUACCCUUAGGUCGUGUGGUAUCUGGUAGUUGGAGAAGUCUCACUGGCCAAGCCAGGCUUCCUUGUUACAGUGACUUAUACCUCUCCUCUGAGGUUUAGACCUUAGUUCUGUGAUACAGAAAUUCAAUUUCAUCUUUUCACCCAAGAAUAAUCAGGUUCCAAUGAAUUGAUCUACUUGUCAACCUCACAAACAGAGUUACUGGUUAAUCAACCAGGAAGAUUGACUAUUACAACAGGACAGAAGAUUAGAAGUGGACACCACUUCUAUUACAUCUAUAAUAGAAUGUAAGAGUUUGCUACAAACGAUUCCAUCUCCCUAAGGGCUCAUUCUUUCCCCCAAAUUAUUUACCCUCUCCUAAGUUGUCCAUAUCCCUCUUCUUCUUUCCCCUACGAAGACAGUAUAAGCUCCCAAAUCUCACCACUUUUUUGGGUAUUCAUUUUUUUUUCUCUUGUGAUGCCCCAUCCAUGCAAUAAAUUUGUAUACCUUUU
rnacentral:lncRNA from 1 species